AGAGUUUGAUCCUGGCUCAGGAUGAACGCUAGCGGCAGGCCUAACACAUGCAAGUCGAGGGAGAAGCCCUUUCGGGGGCAGAAACCGGCGCACGGGUGCGUAACGCGUAUGCAACCUACCUUUCACAGGGGGAUAGCCCGAAGAAAUUUGGAUUAAUACCCCAUAAUAUUAUUGGAUGGCAUCAUUUGAUAAUUAAAAUUACGAUGGUGAAAGAUGGGCAUGCGUCCUAUUAGCUAGUUGGAGUGGUAACGGCACCCCAAGGCUACGAUAGGUAGGGGUCCUGAGAGGGAGAUCCCCCACACUGGUACUGAGACACGGACCAGACUCCUACGGGAGGCAGCAGUGAGGAAUAUUGGUCAAUGGGCGAGAGCCUGAACCAGCCAAGUCGCGUGAAGGAUGACUGUCUUAUGGAUUGUAAACUUCUUUUAUACGGGAAUAACAAGAGUCACGUGUGGCUCCCUGCAUGUACCGUAUGAAUAAGCAUCGGCUAACUCCGUGCCAGCAGCCGCGGUAAUACGGAGGAUGCGAGCGUUAUCCGGAAUCAUUGGGUUUAAAGGGUCCGUAGGCGGGCUAAUAAGUCAGAGGUGAAAGCGCUCAGCUCAACUGAGCAACUGCCUUUGAAACUGUUAGUCUUGAAUGGUUGUGAAGUAGUUGGAAUGUGUAGUGUAGCGGUGAAAUGCUUAGAUAUUACACAGAACACCGAUAGCGAAGGCAUAUUACUAACAAUUAAUUGACGCUGAUGGACGAAAGCGUGGGGAGCGAACAGGAUUAGAUACCCUGGUAGUCCACGCU
rnacentral:rRNA from 1 species